rnacentral:rRNA from 1 species
CCCUUAGAUGUUCUGGGCUGCACGCGCGCGACAAUGACGUUUGCAACGAGAUUGCGAGGCCGUCAGGUCGAGCUGAUCUUGCAAGCUGCGUCGUGAUAGGGACAGUCGAUUGCAAUUAUUCGACUCGAACGAGGAAUUCCUUGUAAUCGCGCAUCAUCAGUGCGCGCUGAAUACGUCCCUGCCCUUUGUACACACCGCCCGUCGCUCCUACUGAUUGAGUGUCUCGGUGAAUUCUUUGAUCUUCUGUCGAUUCAGUUCACUGAUCCGACGGUGGAAAGUUGAAUGAACUUCGUCACUUAGAGGAAGGAGAAGUCGUAACA